GACAGAGGGUGCAAACGUUGUUCGGAAUUACUGGGCGUAAAGCGCGUGUAGGCGGCUCGGCAAGUCGGGUGUGAAAGCCCUGGGCUUAACCUAGGAAGUGCACUCGAAACUGCCAAGCUUGAGUUCUGGAGAGGAAGGCGGAAUUCUCGGUGUAGAGGUGAAAUUCGUAGAUAUCGAGAGGAACACCGGUGGCGAAGGCGGCCUUCCGGACAGCAACUGACGCUGAGACGCGAAAGCGUGGGGAGCAAACAGG
rnacentral:rRNA from 1 species